AUUGAACGCUGGCGGCAGGCUUAACACAUGCAAGUCGAGCGGGGGAGGUUACUUCGGUAAUUGACCUAGCGGCGGACGGGUGAGUAAUACUUAGGAAUCUGCCUAUUAAUGGGGGACAACAUCUCGAAAGGAAUGCUAAUACCGCAUACGCCCUACGGGGGAAAGCAGGGGAUCACUUGUGACCUUGCGUUAAUAGAUGAGCCUAAGUCGGAUUAGCUAGUUGGUGGGGUAAGGGCCUACCAAGGCGACGAUCUGUAGCGGGUCUGAGAGGAUGGUCCGCCACACGUGGACGGAGACACGGCCCAGACUCCGACGGGGGGCAGCAGUGGGGAAUAUUGGGAAAUGGGGGGAACCCUGAUCCAGCCAUGCCGCGUGUGUGAAGAAGGCCUUAUGGUUGUAAAGCACUUUAAGCGAGGAGGAGGCUCUUUUGGUUAAUACCCAAGAUGAGUGGACGUUACUCGCAGAAUAAGCACCGGCUAACUCUGUGCCAGCCGCCGCCGUAA
rnacentral:rRNA from 1 species